rnacentral:rRNA from 1 species
AUACGAAAGGUGCAAGCGUUGUUCGGAUUUACUGGGCGUAAAGAGAGUGUAGGUUGUUUAUUAAGUCGGAUGUGAAAUCCCGGGGCUCAACCUCGGAACUGCAUUCGAUACUGAUAGGCUAGAGUUUGGGAGGGGUAAGCGGAAUUCCGUGUGUAGCAGUGAAAUGCGUAGAUAUACGGAGGAACACCUGAGGCGAAGGCGGCUUACUGGACCAAUACUGACACUGAGACUCGAAAGCGUGGGUAGCAAACAGGAUUAGAAACCCGAGUAGUCC